rnacentral:rRNA from 1 species
AGUGAACGCUGGCGGUAGGCCUAACACAUGCAAGUCGAACGGCAGCACAGUAAGAGCUUGCUCUUACGGGUGGCGAGUGGCGGACGGGUGAGGAAUACAUCGGAAUCUACUUUUUCGUGGGGGAUAACGUAGGGAAACUUACGCUAAUACCGCAUACCACCUACGGUUGAAAGCAGGGGAUCUUCGGACCUUGCGCGAUUGAAUGAGCCGAUGACGGAUUAGUUGGUUGGCGGGGUAAAGGCCCACCAAGGCGACGAUCCGUAGCUGGUCUGAGAGGAUGAUAGGCCACACUGGAACUGAGACACGGUCCAGACUCCUACGGGAGGCAGCAGUGGGGAAUAUUGGACAAUGGGCGCAAGCCUGAUCCAGCCAGACCGCGUGGGUGAAGAAGGCCUUCGGGUUGUAAAGACCUUUUGUUGGGAAAGAAAAGCAGCAGGUUAAUACCCCGCUGUUCUGACGGUACCCAAAGAAUAAGCACCGGCUAACUUCGUG